GACGAACGCUGGCGGCGUGCUUAACACAUGCAAGUCGAACGGAAAGGCCCUGAUUGUGUGGGGUGCCCGAGGGGCGAACGGGGGAGUAACAGGAGAGUAACCUGCCCUAGACUUUGGGAUAACUUCAGGAAACGGGGGCUAAUACCGGAUAGGAGAUCCUGCUGCAGGGAGGGGGGUGGAAAGUUUCGGCGGGUGGGGAUGGACUCGCGGAUGAUCAGCUUGUUGGUGGGGUAGUGGAAUGCCAAGGCUGUGACGGGUAGCCGGCCUGAGAGCGUGACCGGCCUCCUGGCUCCUGCGAUACGCCCCAGUCUCCUAUGGGAGGCAGCGGUGGGGAACCUUGCCCAAUGGUCGGACGCCUGUUGCGGCAGCGCCGCGUGCGGAAUGCCGGCCUUCGGGUUGUGAACCGCUUUCGCUUGUUACGACGCGUGAGUGACGGUACUGGGUAAAGAAGCACCGGCUAACUACGUG
rnacentral:rRNA from 1 species